rnacentral:lncRNA from 1 species
AAAAACAUACAAAUAAAAAAUGGUUACGGUAAGGGUUCAAGUUAGGUAGGGUUAAGGUUAGAAUCCAUGGUAGGGACGUUUUAAGGAUUCCUGAUAGCACUAACUAUUAGCAAAAUACUUAUAUCAAAGAGUUGUAUUGUUCUAUUUGCGUUUAUAUUGGCAUAAAUAAAGAUGGGUUCUGACUAGAGAGUGUACAGCUACGACCGGAAUUGACUUUUUCGUAACAGGUUACAAGAAUUUAAAGGCGUUACAUGGUCAAUCUGACAUCUGCAUUGCAGGACCUCCCGCCCCCACCUACCAUCAAACAAUCAUGUCAACGCGGAGCUAUACAGAGCCCUCUGCAUUGUUACAAAAUUUGGGAGGCCCACAGCCAUGCGGUACUGAGCUCCGAAGUCCCCGCGAUUGCGUCACCUCCAUACGGAGUCUCCGACAACAUUUUCGGAGCAAGUAUAAGUUGGCUUUUACGCAUCAGGACCUGAGCCCUAGGACCAUGCCUCAGGACUACCUGGUAUGAUGACUCCUUGCUGUCCCCAGUCCACCUGGCCGUGCUGCUGCUCCAGUUUCAACUGUUCUGCCUGCGGCUAUGGAACCCUGACCUGUUCACCGGACGUGCUUGUUGCACCCUCGACAACUACUAUGAUUAUUAUUAUUUGACCAUGCUGGUCAUUUAUGAACAUUUUUAACAUUUUAACAUUUUGACCAUGUUCUGUUAUAAUAUCCACCCUGCACAGCCAGAAGAGGACUGGCCACCCC